rnacentral:lncRNA from 1 species
UCUAGGUCCCAACGACAUACAACUAAGCUCUGAUACCAACUUAAUCUGUCACGCCCCGGAUUACUCGUUCCUCCGGCGCGCCGACAAAUCCGCCGUAUACAAAGGAAUUUCCCCUGUAUACGAAGCGAUAGCUGAAUCUGUAAAUCAAACAAUACUACAAACAGUAGUAUAGAGCUGCUAGGAGAAACGGAGAAAACCAACUGAGUUCCAUAUA